rnacentral:lncRNA from 1 species
CUCUAGCAUAGAGAUCAUCAUCCUUCUAUUAUCUUCUUUUUCUCUAUGAGUGUCUUGAGAGAAAAGAAGAUUUUUCAAAUAUCAAGAUGCGAUCUCUACAAGGAAGCUAGUAUCCUGAUGAGAUCAAAAAACUUUUGAUCAGAUCAAAGUCUCGUAUGGAUAUCCGUAGAGAUCGGACACUUGUACGAUUUCAAGAGACCUUCAAAAGACAUCCAUGAUCAUCAGUUUGCGGUAC